rnacentral:rRNA from 1 species
UACGUAGGGUGCGAGCGUUGCCCGGAUUUAUUGGGCGUAAAGGGCGCGUAGGCGGCUCUGCACGUCCGUUGUGAAAUCGCCCGGCUCAACUGGGCGGGGUCAGCGGAUACGGCGGAGCUUGAGCAAGCUAGGGGGCAAUGGAAUUCCCGGUGUAGUGGUGGAAUGCGCAGAUAUCAGGAGGAACACCGGUGGCGAAGGCGGGUCUCUGGGCCGUUACUGACGCUGAGGAGCGAAAGCGUGGGGAGCGAACAGG